rnacentral:rRNA from 1 species
GACGACGCUGGCGGCGCGUUUUAAGCAUGCAAGUCGAAGGAUGCGAUUUUAGCAAUAGAGUCGUAGACUGGCGAACGGGUGAGUAACACGUGAAAAUCUAUCUUAAGAUGGGGGAUAGUCGGUAGAAAUACCGGGUAAUACCGCAUGUGCCGAGAGGUGAAAGCUCCAAUUGGAGCGUCUUUAGAUGAGUUUGCGUUCCAUUAGCUAGUUGGUGGGGUAAUGGCCUACCAAGGCGACGAUGGAUAGCCGGCCUGAGAGGGUGUACGGCCACAUUGGGACUGAGACACGGCCCAGACUCCUACGGGAGGCAGCAGCUAAGAAUAUUCCGCAAUGGGAGCAAUCCUGACGGAGCGACGCCGCGUGUAUGAUGAAGGCAGAAAUGUUGUAAAGUACUUUUGCGCGGGAAGAAUAAUGAUAGGAGUGGAAAGUCUAUCAGAUGACGGUACCGCGCGAAUAAGCCACGGCUAACUACGUG